GCCAUCUUCUGUCGUCCCUCGUUUGUUUGUGUUGUAGGGGGUUGGUCCUCCCUCCCCUCUUCUACCUUCUCUGUCCCGGGAACAUACUGCCCUCUUUUUUGCCACGACCCUCUUAAAAAAAAAAAAAAAUCUGAAAAAUGUGGAACUGGAAUGCUUCCCCCUGACUUCUCUCUCCAUUAUUUGUUUUUAAUCGUAUUGGAUACUCUUUUCUAUUUAAGAGCAUCUCGCGGGAGGUGAAGAUGCGCGGCAGCAGGAACAUUUUGACGGGCACGGUGAGGAUGAGCACAAAGGGGAAGGCCAGCGACACCUGCGUGGACAUGACGGCCCACAGCACGACCAGGCACACCAUCUGGAUGCAGGAUGGACACAAUUCUCGUAUUUCUUGCGUGCGGCUCCCACCUUGCGGACGUAGCUGUGGUCGGGGUGGUACUUGGGCGGCAUGAGCAGCAGCAUCAUGCGCUCGCUCAGCUGGAUGCCGUUGAGGGACAUC